rnacentral:rRNA from 1 species
CAGUAGCCGCGGUAAUACGUAGGGUGCAAGCGUUAAUCGGAAUUACUGGGCGUAAAGCGUGCGCAGGCGGUUUGUUAAGACAGAUGUGAAAUCCCCGGGCUCAACCUGGGAGCUGCAUUUGUGACUGGCGAGCUAGAGUAUGGCAGAGGGGGGUAGAAUUCCACGUGUAGCAGUGAAAUGCGUAGAGAUGUGGAGGAAUACCGAUGGCGAAGGCAGCCCCCUGGGCCAAUACUGACGCUCAUGCACGAAAGCGUGGGGAGCAAACAGGAUUAGAUACCCCCGUAGUCCCUGUCUCUUAUAC